rfam:Nicotiana sylvestris Nsyl_contig93742, whole genome shotgun sequence.
UGGACAGAUUAUUGUAUUCGACUGUAUUCACGGCGUGCAACAGGGGAUUACACUAUUUUUAAACGGAAAGUGAAUCAAUUAACAUAAUAGACUCCU